rnacentral:misc_RNA from 1 species
UCUGGAGGAACAACAUCAAACUGGAAGGAAAAAAAUUGCAGCAGCAAUAAAACUUGGACCAUCUAAUUGCAACAUUGACAAAAUUGAAGUGCAAACACCAAUUGCCACUGCUAAGUUAAUGAGAUUCUUAGAGCUUAAAGACAGCAUGAAAGACAAACAGUAAAACAAAGUGUAGUCAAAACACAAAAUCUGAUGUGAAAUUGUUUUUAUGAGAAAUAAUAGAAGUGAGAAGAAAAGCAGUUCAGUGCAUAUAGCCAUUUAGCUUGAGGAUAAGAGCAUGGCUAAAUUGCAGAAAGGUUGAACAUAUAAUUCCUACUUCAGAUUUUCCAAAUCACAUAAUUUCAAACAUAAACAACUUAAAACUAUUAUUAAUCAGCAGAUUUGAAACCAUUUUGGACCACAAAUAUCUAAGUUAUCAAAUUAAAUCCCAUAAACAUUAUGCAGAUUUACAAUCAUAAGAAGUCUCAAAGAAAUUAACUGAUAUGAAGAAGUACCUGAUCUUCCAGGAAAAGGCGAGGUGGUGUACACCAUGCACC